UACGUAGGUGGCGAGCGUUGUCCGGAUUUACUGGGCGUAAAGGGCGUGCAGGCGGUUUGCUAAGUCUAGGGUGAAAGCUCCCGGCUUAACUGGGAGAGGUCCUUGGAUACUGGCAGACUUGAGGAGGGUAGAGGAGAGUGGAAUUCCCGGUGUAGUGGUGAUAUGCGUAGAUAUCGGGAGGAACACCAGUGGCGAAGGCGGCUCUCUGGGCCCUACCUGACGCUGAGACGCGAAAGCGUGGGGAGCGAACAGG
rnacentral:rRNA from 1 species